rnacentral:rRNA from 1 species
GACAGAGGGUGCAAACGUUGUUCGGAAUUACUGGGCGUAAAGCGCGUGUAGGCUGCUUCGCAAGUCGGAUGUGAAAGCCCUGGGCUCAACCCAGGAAGUGCAUUCGAAACUGCAGAGCUGGAGUCCUGGAGAGGAAGGCGGAAUUCUCGGUGUAGAGGUGAAAUUCGUAGAUAUCGAGAGGGACACCGGUGGCGAAGGCGGCCUUCUGGACAGUGACUGACGCUGAGACGCGAAAGCGUGGGGAGCAAACGGG